AUGGCCGCCGGCGGCAGCGGCGGUGGCGUAGACAUCGGGGCUGAUUCCGAGCGGCGCCUCAAGAAGGCCAUGGACAAGCUCUACCACUUCCCCAAGCCCAAGCCUAGCCCCAGCCCCGGCUCCAAACCCUCCUCCUCGUUCACUCCCAGCUCGUGGAGGGCGGGGAAGGCGGCGGAUGCCGGGAGGAGGUUCGGGGUUGUGCGGGGGUCGCGGCUCCCGCCGCAGAUGGCCGCCAUGUCAGCGAUGUCUCCGCCUCCGCCAUGCCGCCCCUGGGACCGCCGUGACCUUGUGCGGCGGCUCUCCUCAUUCAAGGCCAUGACCUGGUUCGCGAAGCCCAAGGUUGUUAGUCCUGUUAACUGUGCUAGGAGAGGGUGGACUAAUGUUGAACCGGACAUUAUAACGUGUGAGGCAUGUGGGGCACGUCUCCUCUUUUCCUCUCCUUCCUCGUGGACACCACAGCAAGUUGAAAAGGCUGCUUCUGUUUUCAGCUUGAAACUGGACACUGGACACAAACUACUCUGUCCAUGGAUCGACAACAUAUGUGAUGAAUCACUUGCCUUAUUUCCACCCACACCUCCUCCUGUUUUAGUUGAGAACUACUAUGAGUGCUUCUCGUCUCUGCUGAGGCUUUCAUCACUUCCAAGAAUUUCCCCCUCUUCUCUGGAUAUCAUGAGGAAGUGGAGUCCACAACUAGAACAGUUCCUAUUGGAGCCGUUCUCUUCAUCAGUUGUCCUUAAAGGGGGAUUUAUGCUUACUGAAGACUCAACUAUUAGGGAUCUAGAUGGCACUUUUCAAGAUGCUGGCAUAUAUUAUCAGGCACUCAAGAUAAUAAGCUUAUGUGGAUGGGAACCACGCCUACUUCAUUAUGCUGUUGAUUGUGCAACCAAAUCUCACUCAGAUGCAAGCUCUACCUCCAUAUUUGCCCAACCAGAGAAAAUGAACAACACACUGGAAGAUCGGGUCGUAAUUUACUCACACAAGGAAGUUGAUGGUUCUCCAGCAAUUCCAGAUGCUAAUCAAGGAGAUCAACAUUAUGAUCCAUCAUCCGUUGUUUUAGAUUGUCAGUUUUGUGGAGCCUGUGUUGCCUUGUGGCGUUUUUCCCUUGUAGAACGACCUCUUCAACUUUUUAAGCUCGUAUCAGAUUCGAAUACACAAGAUGAGCAAAGUAAUGGACAUGCUAACCUAGUCAGUGGAGUAGAACCUUCAAAGUCUGCAAAUGUUGGUUUUAAUUUUACCAUUGCUGGUGGUCCUCCGCCGACUAGACAGAGUUUUCGACCAAGAGUUUCAUUUCCUGUUGUCAGUCGACACUUGAAAGCUGACUUGAACUCCCGUGGAAAAUCAUUUUCAUCCGGAAGUGAUAGAGAGAUUGUUUCUGUUGCUUUGCAUACUUCAGGGCCCAUGAAGCGCAAACGAAGCAUGGAUAAGCUUCAUACAUUGGAAGGCAUUAACACAAUCUCCAAUGAUGUUGAUACAUCGGCCAAAGGGGCACAUCGCGAUCAUGGAGGUGAUAAUUCUGAAAAGCAGAUUGCAAACUUGGGAGUAAACACUGAUCAAAUUCAAGGGUGUUCACCUUCAGAUACAACUGAGGAUAUUAAUAUGGAAGAAGUUGUCAAUGGAGAACCAGAAUCAGGUGUUGCCACAAGCAGAAGUAUGACGAGCACGAACUUGAAACUUGAUCAACACGGAAUAGAUCCCAAGUUUUCACCUGUUGAGGAUACAAGAGAAGAACCUACUAAUGAUCGGAACUCUAUACAGACACAUACAAACAUGUCCAAGCCAGCUGAGGUUGGCACAAUCACAAAAUCGUCCACCAACAUGGAAAAAGGUGUAGAGCCAUCAGGGAAAAAACAAGGCCUGUAUGACCAAAUGAAUGAGUUUGAUCCUAUCAAGCAGCACCGGACAUUCUGCCCUUGGAUAUCCCCUGAUAACAGUGAUGCCUUGCCUGGAUGGAGGCUGACUCUUUUGGCGUUACUUGCUCAUGAUAAAAGAGUUGAUGGAGAUUCACAAUUGGAGACUAAGCUCAGGCUUCUCAAUGAGGAGGAGGAUCCGGUUACAUCUGUUAGAAAGCUUUUCAUGACACCGCCUUCCAAGAAGCCGAGGAUACAUCAAGCAGAGAAGAGCUGA
rnacentral:rRNA from 1 species